GCUCUAAUGGUGGAAUUGGUAGACACGAUGGACUUAAAAUCCAUUGGCCAGUAAUGGCUGUUCGGGUUCAAAUCCCGAUUGGAGCA
rnacentral:tRNA from 1 species